rnacentral:rRNA from 1 species
UUCCAGACUCCUACGGGAGGCAGCAGUGAGGAAUAUUGGUCAAUGGGCGAGAGCCUGAACCAGCCAAGUCGCGUGAAGGAUGACGGCCCUACGGGUUGUAAACUUCUUUUGUCAGGGAGCAAUUGGGUCCACGCGUGGGCUUAGCGAGAGUACCUGAAGAAAAAGCAUCGGCUAACUCCGUGCCAGCAGCCGCGGUAAUACGGAGGAUGCGAGCGUUAUCCGGAUUUAUUGGGUUUAAAGGGUGCGUAGGCGGACGCUUAAGUCAGCGGUAAAAUUGCGGGGCUCAACCCCGGCCUGCCGUUGAAACUGGCGGCCUCGAGUGGGCGAGAAGUAUGCGGAAUGCGUGGUGUAGCGGUGAAAUGCAUAGAUAUCACGCAGAACUCCGAUUGCGAAGGCAGCAUGCCGGCUCCACACUGACGCUGAGGCACGAAAGCGUGGGUAUCGAACAGGAUUAGAUACCCGCGUAAA